GGGUACAGAAAUGAAAAAGGGGUUUGGGGGGAAUCAAUGUACAAGUUAUGACAUUCUUUCAUGUUACAACCAAGAUUCCUGCGGGGUGGGGGUUACAACAUAGCAGGGUAAAGCACCAACCCUUAUGGUGUGUUUGCUCAUUCUGUGUAUAACUCUUGUCCUUUCCUUCGCUUUCCCUAACAUAACUAUUUACAUAUUGGUACCUGUCUGCUUUAAUUCUCGCUCUCUCUACUGUCCCUGAUUUGCGCGUGUAUCUGGGUUUUCCCUGUGGUUUAUAGCCAUGAUUCGUUGUCAGCCCUCGUCCUCUUUUUUUUUUUUUCCUUCCUCUCUCUCGCUACUUCCCCUCUCCCCGGCACUCUCUCUCCCUGUCUCCCUCCUAUUUUCUGGCCUGCAGAGCUCGGUUGUUCUGUUCCUACUUCAUGUGGUUCUCAUCACCUCUUCCCAUCUGUCUCUAGCUUGUAUUGCGUGAGCAGAUGCUCCAAAUUUGACGUUUAGUUUGGUUUUGUACAUUAGAUUGGUAGAGAUUUGAGUCAGUAAUGCAGUGUUUUCAGGUCUCGCGGUUUGUUUCCAAGCCCUUGCGAUCAGUGUGUUUGCGGCUAUUAGGAUAUGGAAGAGUAGUAUCGCUUGUGGCCGGUUGUACGUCUCUAAAGUCAUGAACAGCAAACCACAUUCUGGCUGGAGGGGCGCUUGUGUGUCAAGUGCGUUUCGAAUAAUGUCUCCUACUUCUCUCCAGUAUGGUUGUAUUUGGUUACAUGUCCACCAUAUGUGGUACAUACUGCCUUCCUCCAUCCCACACCUCCAACACAGUUUUGACGUUUGUGGAUACAUGGCUGCCAGUCUUGUCGGCACCAUGUACCACCUAUAUUGCAGUUUCCUCAUGAGCUCUAAGUGUGCUGCACAUCUAGAUUUCCCUUUGUGGGCGGUAAAGGCUUUUUGCCAUUGGCUGUCAGUAAAGUGUUUGUGUAGGUCCUCAUGCCAGUGCUCCCUGAAUUUUUCAUCUGGUGGUGUUUUGGGGUUGUCAUUGAGUGUGGCGUAGAGUAGAGAAAGUGUCUUUUUUGGUAUGUUACCCGUGUCGCAUAAAUGGUAUAUUUGUUUUAGGGGUGUGGGUGUGGUUGUUGUGGUCUCGUUC